rnacentral:rRNA from 1 species
CUACGGGCCGCUGCAGUGAGGAAUAUUGCACAAUGGAGGAAACUCUGAUGCAGCAACGCCGCGUGGAGGAUGACGCAUUUCGGUGUGUAAACUCCUUUUAUAUGUCAAGAAAAUGACGGUAGCAUAUGAAUAAGCACCGGCUAACUCCGUGCCAGCAGCCGCGGUAAUACGGAGGGUGCAAGCGUUACUCGGAAUCACUGGGCGUAAAGGACGCGUAGGCGGGUUGGAAAGUCAGGUGUGAAAUCCUACAGCUUAACUGUAGAACUGCACUUGAAACUUCUAAUCUAGAGUAUGGGAGGGGGAGAUGGAAUUAGUGGUGUAGGGGUAAAAUCCGUAGAUAUCACUAGGAAUACCUAAAGCGAAGGCGAUCUCCUGGAACAUUACUGACGCUAAGGCGUGAAAGCGUGGGGAGCAAACAGGAUUAGAUACCCGCGUAGUC